UGGGGAAUAUUGCACAAUGGGCGCAAGCCUGAUGCAGCCAUGCCGCGUGUGUGAAGAAGGCCUUCGGGUUGUAAAGCACUUUCAGCGAGGAGGAAGGUGGUGAGCUUAAUACGCUCAUCAAUUGACGUUACUCGCAGAAGAAGCACCGGCUAACUCCGUGCCAGCAGCCGCGGUAAUACGGAGGGUGCAAGCGUUAAUCGGAAUUACUGGGCGUAAAGCGCACGCAGGCGGUUUGUUAAGUCAGAUGUGAAAUCCCCGGGCUCAACCUGGGAACUGCAUUUGAAACUGGCAAGCUAGAGUCUCGUAGAGGGGGGUAGAAUUCCAGGUGUAGCGGUGAAAUGCGUAGAGAUCUGGAGGAAUACCGGUGGCGAAGGCGGCCCCCUGGACGAAGACUGACGCUCAGGUGCGAAAGCGUGGGGCAGCAAACAGGAUUAGAUACCCUGGUAGUCCAGCGCUGUAAAACGAUGUCGAUUUUGGAGGUUGUGCCCUUGAGGCGUGG
rnacentral:rRNA from 1 species